GGUUCGAUUAUGGCUCAGAUUGAACGUGCUGGUGGGAUGCUUUACACAUGAUGUCGAUCACCCGGCAGCACGGACUUCUUAUCUGGUGGCGAGUGCGAACGGGCAGGGAAUGGGAUUGGAACGCCUAGUAGCGGGGGAUAACUACGCGAAGUAGCUAAUACUGGCCACACCUUCGGGGAAAGCGGGGACCUUCGGGCCUCGCACCGUUAGAGCGGCCGAUAUCGGAUUAGCUAGUUGGUGGGGUACCGCUCACCAAGGCGACAUCCGUGUGCUGGUUUGAGAGGACGACCAGCCACACUGGGACUGAGACACGGCCCAGACUCCUACGGGAGGCAGCAGUGGGGAAUUUUGGACAAUGGGGAACCCUGAUCCAGCCAUCCGGUGCGUGGGUGGCGAUGAAGGCUCGGGUUGUAAAGCACUUUCGGGCAGGAAAGAAACGGCACGGAUAAUACCCCGUAACUGACGGUACCUGCACAAGCACCGGCUGACCACGUGCCAGCAGCAGCGGUAAUACGUAGGCAAGCGUUAAUCGAAUUACUGGGCGUAAAGCGUGCAGGCGGUUCGGAAAGAAGAUGUGAAAUCCCAGAGCUUAACUUUGGAACUGCAUUUUUAACUACCGAGCUAGAGUGUGUCAGAGGGUAGGUGGAAUUCCGCGUGUAGCAGCAAAAUGCGUAGAUAUGCGAGGAACACCGAUGGCGAAGGCAGCCUCCUGGGAUAACACUGACGCUCAUGCACGAAAGCGGGGAGCAAACAGGAUUAGAUAAUUCUGGUAGUCCACGCCCUAAACGACGUCAACUAGCUGUUGGGGCCGGCCUGGUAGCGCAGCUAUCGUGAAGUUGACCGCCUGGGGAGUACGGUCGCAAGAUUAAAACUCAAAGGAAUUGACGGGGACCCGCACAAGCGGUGGAUGAUGUGAUUAAAUUGAUGCAACGCGAAAACCUACAUCAUACUCCUUGACAUGUCUGAAUCCCGAAGAGAUUUGGGAGUGCUCGCAAGAGAACCGAACACAGGUGCUGCAUGGCUGUCGUCAGCUCGUGUCGUGAGAUGUUGGGUUAAGUCCCGCAACGAGCGCAACCCUUGUCAUUAGUUACAUGAAAGGGCACUCGAAUAGAGACUGCCGGUGACAAACCGGAGGAAGGUGGGGAUGACGUCAGGUCCUCAUGGCCCUUAUGGGCAGGGCUUCACACGUCACACAAUGGUCGGGACAGAGGGUCGCCAACCCCGCGAGGGGGAGCCAAUCCCAGAAACCCGACGUAGUCCGGAUCGCAGCUCCUGCAACUCGACUGCGUGAAGUCGGAAUCACGUAGUAACGUGUGGAUCGCUAAUGUCGCGGUGAAUACGUUCCCGGGUCUUGUACACACCGCCCGUCACACCAUGGGAGUGGGUUUGACAGAAGUAAAGCUAGCCUAACCGUAAGGAGGGCGAUUACCACGGUAGGAUUCAUGACUGGGGUGAAGUCGUAACAAGGUAG
rnacentral:rRNA from 1 species